ensembl:lincRNA A530083I20Rik RIKEN cDNA A530083I20 gene
AGGCCCUUCUAGGCAGCCGGAGGUCUCAGCAUCUCUGUGCCCCAGGGCUGAGCUGUCCAGGUUCCUUAGAAGCUCUGAAGCGCUGCAGAUGCCCUGGCUUCCAGACAUCACUAUUAUUAACUCGGUGGACAGUCGUGGAGAGUUCAGCCAAGGCCUCAGUUAGGACACCACCAACAGACCAAGAAUUACAGGAAAAUACAUGAGAGAUUCCUUAUAAGAACAUGGACGAGUCAGGGGCAGCAUCAUCACUGGAAACCACACUCUAGCAUGGAUGGAGUAAUCUGUGAACUCUCCGAGAGUACACAAGAGCACAGGACACUUUCCUGCGGUCCUUACUGUGCCGAGUGCUAAGCGGCAGGUCUCGCUGCACGUCUAAUCUGCGAGCUCGCGUGGGGCUCACUCCAGAGUCACGGUCCUGCCUCGGUAGCCGCUCACCUGGCCGCGUCUGCCCCGUGCAGCGCUGACGCACGGGAGCCAACAACUCGAGCCGACCCCAAGCCGAGCGACCACAACACGAGGACGACGCGGCUCCGCCUCGGGUAAGCACCCCGGCACCGCCCGCGUCGCGGCCCGAGUGCGGGCCGCACUUUCCACCGCGUCGCCACCGUCAUGCGUGACGGCUCAACGGCCCCACACACCUCCAGGACACUAGGAAAUGGCAACGACGGCGGGACGGGAAGCAUGAGAGCAUCACUUCCGGUACCUCCUGGAUUCCGGAAGUCUUGGUUGCCAAGGUGAGCAAUAAUCUUGAACGCUAAGAUUUUUUUUUACCCAGGGAACAUCUGGGGCACAAGAGGGUGUCAUGCUGAACUUAGAGUCAUUCAGAUUCCAGAGACCUCACUCUUGACAUAAAAAGGUCAAAAAAAGCAAAGCCAUACUUUCCAACAAUCAGACUUUGACAGACCAGCCUGUCCCUGAUGAUGCCCUAUACAAUUAGAGCCCAAUUCCUAAUUGUGUUACAGCUCGGUUCCAUUAAGGGGAAGGUUCCCGCAACUGUACAGUUCUGCUUGAGCAGGCAAAGGUUCCCCCGAUGUAAGUGUUACAGCUUUCCUGGGAAAGGUACCCUGGCAAUCGGGAGUCAAGGAAUACCACAAAGUCACACCACACAACAAAUCUCACAUAGAUUUAUCGGAAGGGAAAACCCAGAAGAGUGGCUGCCUCUGCUCAGGCAAGGAGCAGGGGGAACUGAGGAGAAGGCAGGCCUUAUAUAGGUUUCAGUGAGGGAUGGGACUUCUGGGGCAGUCUGGGAUUUGUGGGAUUCUAGUCAGAGUUUGGGGCAAACUCAGGGAUUGGUGGAACUGUUUCUUGGGGUCUAGGGGUCAAGUCUGGGUCAGGGUGUUCUUUCCUUGGCUCUUUUACCCUAAAUUUAUCUCUGAGGUCAUCUCACCUCAAAGUGCCAGUCUCAGGAAGGAUUAAUUGUGUUAUAAAGUUUGCUAUCUAACAAGAUGGAGAACUUUAUUUACUAUAAAAGGGUAGGUCCCUCUCAGAGGACAAUUCUCUGAGAAUUCAAAUUUGUUAUGACUUUCUUUAUUGAAAUUUCUUUAACUAUUAUAGUUUUGUAAAUACUUUUAUUCCUGUGCUUUGGAUUUAUAAAAUACACAUUUAUGGGCUCAAAUAGCACAAUCUGUGGCCCUGAUUCUUUGUGUGUAAGGUGUGAUGCUUACUGCUUGCUUUUUUGAUUCACAGGUUAGUAAAAUAUAUAUAUAUAUAUCACAUGAUAUAAUGAUCUAAUACAAAGGGUCUUAAUAUUUUGUUCAACCAAUUUCAAUUCAUUUACAGAGAAACAACAUUCUUACUCCAGGAUGACACGAGCUUCCCCCUCUACCCUGUUCUGCUGUCAGGAGGUCCAGCAUCCUUCUAUUUCGUAGUACAACCCUGGGAGUGGUGGUCAUCUGUAUCUGGGGAAUAAUUAUAACAGGAAUGCUGAGGUAGGGGCCCCUCAAAGAGGGGGACCUCCUAUGAGGGUUUAUUAAAGGAGAAACCUGGGUCUGAGGAGGAACCAUGCGAGGUAGCAUGAACAGGAGUCAUUACUAAGAGGGGAUCCAAAAGGGAUGCACAGAAAAAACAUAGAGAGGCAUUUUAGAUGGGAUGUGAGGAGCAAUAAUAGAUCAGAAGCGCAUUGAACAUGUUGUAGCCAGGAUUGGGCAUUUCUUCUCAGUUGUAUUUCCUGUUCAAGAAUGGUUUUAUGGGUUCAUGUGGACUGCUCCAGGUAUCGAGAGAUAUGAGCAGAGGGGCAUGCAGCGCAACUGGUGGGAUAUAGCUUCCCCAUGAUUCCCAUUCUCCAUAUUUCAUCCCAGGGGUCAUCUAUAACAAUGAGACAGUUAUUCAGGUUUUGAAAUAGGCUAUUUCUUUCUUUCUUCUUUAUGUAAAACCAUCAAUUUGUAUUUAUUUAAUAUACAUUGUAAGGGUUCAAGCAGACUU